UUACUACUCCCUUCGUUCGGAAUUACUUGUCGAAAAAAUGAACCUAUCUAGAUGUAUUUUAGUUGUAGAUACAUCCAUUUUUAUGACAAGUAAUUCCGAACGGAGGAAGUAGAUU
rfam:Triticum aestivum genome assembly, contig: Triticum_aestivum_CS42_TGACv1_scaffold_220612_3B